CAUGGCUUCCUAGAGGCUGUUAAAGGAAGAGCCGCUUUCUUCCUGCCUCCCAAGCUGCCCAGCGGCGCCGGUUGCUGGGGAACGCCAGCGCCGUGGGAGGGGAUGGCGGGAGGGUACGGCUUAGGUGCUGGGGCCGGAGUUGAGUUGGUGAAGAAGAGCUGGGGGUCGUCAUGAAACAACGGAAAGCCCCGGGGCCUGGGGGCGACGGUAGCCGCAAGAAGAGAGGUUUAAGUGACAUUUCUCCAUCUACAAGCCUACCACCCCUGGUUGAAGGCCAGCUACGCUGCUUUCUGAAACUUACUGUUAAUAAAGUCAUAUGGAAGAUUACAAAGCCUCCUGCUUGUGUACUUGUUCGAGUGAGAUGGUGGGGAGAAACAUCAGAAGGAACACUCUUUUGUCCCAGGGAUACAUUGCAGACCGAACCAAAAGCUGUGAGAACAACUACACGUUAUGCUAUUCGCUGUGGUCCAAAGCAGUUUACCUCUUAUCUAACAGAUAUGGCUGUGCUGGUGCUGGAAGUAAUCACCAAACUUGAACAUCUUCCGGUUGGUAGAGUUCAGAUCAGUGGACUAGCCCAGCUUUCUCCAACCCAUCACAUCAAUGGAUUUUUUACCAUUGUUUCACCAACAUCUAAGAAACUUGGAGAACUCCAGGUCUCACUUGCCCUGGAGCCUUUGUCAGAAACUUUUGACAGCUACACUCCUCUUCCUACCACUGACAUGACAGAAAAUGUGCUUUUAUCUGAACAAGGAUUCAGAGAAUAUACUGAAGCAGGCAAUACUCAGUUUCUGGUUCCAUCAAGGCCUCAGAGGAUCCCUACCACCAAAAUUGAUGGAAAAGAGUUAGCAGCCAACAGCAGUAGGUCAACCACUCCAAGGGGAAAGGACCACUUGUACUUUGCAGAGAACUCUGAUACAAUAAAGGACUCUUUCUUUGGACUACGGCACCAUCUUAAUUCAGGACAGAGUUUAGAGUCUAUGACUCUGAAAGGCAAAGCCCCACAGAAGCAGAUGUCCCUUCUCAACAGUUCUGAAUUGCGGCCUCAAAUUAGGACAGUUGCCAAGAGUCACAGUGACUCAUGUGUUCUUUCUUCAAACAACCCUCCUACCAAGAACCUUCUUUUAGCUCUGUUAGAACAAGGCAAUAAACUGCGUAAUGCCAUGGUGAUUUCUGCAAUGAAAUCAAGCCCAGAUACUAGCAUGUUGUUGGAAGAAGUUCAUCCUUCUAUGAAUGAAGAUUUUCUUAGAGCAUCUACACAAAUCAAAGCCUUGUCUAGGAAUCAAUUUAAAGACCACAUUGAAGAUCACCUCCUCCCUCCAACUGAGAAUACAUUUUGGAAACAUGACACAAAAGCUGAUACCAGAGCCAUACAGCUGCUAUUGGGCAGUGCCGAAUUAUCCCAAGGUCGUUACUGGGACGGGCUAGGCUCUCCUCCAGAUUCCCCGUCUCCUGGGAGUGAUGUGUAUUGCAGCAGUGAGCCCAGUGACCCUCAGUAUGACCAGAGUCUCCUGGAGAACUUGUUUUACACAGCACCCAAAUCUGAUACCAGUGUCAGUGAUGUCUUCAGUGGAGAUGAUGAUGUUGUCCCUUCUAAAAAAAUGAGCCAGUCAAAAGCUCUUGCCAGAUCUUCUAAGGUUCUAGAGUCAAAUGAUCAUAAGUUGAAGAAGAAGGCGGUGGGCAAGAAAAAUAGAAACUUGAUUGAACAACAGAUGCUAUCAGAAACUCCAGAAGAUGCCCAAGUGAUGACACUAAGUGUGGAUAGACUGGCCCUUCUGGGUAGAACACAUUCAGUCAGAAUCAUCAUCGAAACAAUGGGAGUUCCUCCAGAUAGUCUCCAGGAGACCCCUGGCAAAAAAAGCUUUCCUGGGAGACUACCUAAGCUGACAACAAAAAAGCGCACCUUCUUUGUGGAAUAUCACUUUCCUAUGGGCUUUUCCAAAAAUGGAUUGACAAAGACAGCUUUGAUCACUGAGGUGGUUCGACUCGCAUCCAGUAAAAUUACAGAUGGAAUGGUGAAAUUCCAGCAGAGAUUUGUGUUUCCGGUACAGUUUGGUGGCCCAAUGAUAGAACACUGGUGGAAUUCGAAUCUUACUUUCCAAAUUUACACAAAGAAAACCCCACAGUUAAAGCCUGAAGUCAUUGGGUCUGCAUCACUACCUUUGAGAGCUGUCAUUCAAUCUGAGCUGCUUUCUUUCAGUGACCAGCUUGCAGUGCAACAGGAAAAUGGUCAGACUCCACUUGGCCCCCUCAAGGUAACUGUGGAGCUUGUUACAGAUAACAAGGAUUUCGCUGAUGUCAAUACAAAGUUAAGUAGCAACACCCAACAUAGCCCACUUUGUGCUCUUACAAGUCCAGAUAAGACACUGCCAGAACCUAGUCAACAUGUUACCUGUACCAAAAAUCCACAGAACCUCAAUCAAAUUCAUGAAGAAACUGUAAAGAAAACACAGAAUUUGGUGCUCCCCAUCCGAAAGUCACCAAGCCCUGUUGUACCAAGUCCUUCAACCUUCACGGCUGUGCCAGCCUCUCAUGAUUUGAUAAAUCAGAUAAAUGUGUCAACAAAAGAAAGUGCUUUGCUGUUGCAUGUGCUACUGAUGGUGCCAGAUGGGAAAGAUUUCAUUACUGGAGAAUCUGAGAAACAACCAUCAUGCAAUGUUUAUUUAAAUUGCAAGCUCUUCAGCACAGAAGAAGUCACCAGAUCUGUCAUUGCAUGGGGCACAACAAAACCAGUCUUUAACUUUUCUCAGGUGAUUCCUGUCUCUCUGUCUUCCAAAUGCCUGGAAAGGCUUAAGAACAAUGUGAUGGUAAUUGAAACUUGGAACAAGGUGCGGAGCCCAGGACAGGACAAGCUGCUCGGGCUGGUGAAACUCCCCCUCCAUCAGUUUUACAUGUCAUUCAAAGAUCCCAAGAUUUCUCGCCUGCUGCUUGAUGCUCAGUAUCCAGUUGUUGCUGUCGACAGCUACAUGCCUGUGAUUGAUGUGUUCUCAGGCCACCAAAAUGGGAGUCUUCGAGUCUUUUUAGCUAUGGGUUCUUCAGAUCAGAUAAUAGCACUGCAAAGAUUAAAGAAUGAAGAAGGAACACUUCCUCCCUUCAACCCCAGGCCAGCCCAUCUCCUGGACCAGCCAUCUGUAGCAUCUGUUGCUAUGGCAGGGGACCAAGGAAAUGGAUUGAUGGAGCACCACUUUGAACUCCUUAUAGACAAGAUUAAAGGGCUCGCCCCUCUUCAGGCAACAGUCUGGGGAGAAGCAGAUUGUUAUGUCCAGUACUACUUUCCAGUUCAAGACUCGCAACCCAGUGUGCUGAAAGGACCUGAGUUCCUUGAAAAUGGAUUCACUCUGAAGCCUUUCAGAUCUGCAACCACACUCUGCAUUCCAGACCCCAUCUUUAAUAGUGAGCACCGUCAUUCUCUCCUGUUGCCAGCUGAAAUUCCAGUGCAAAGGCUCCUACUCAGUGCCUUCUCUGCACAUGGGCUUGUACCUGGAGGUGGAGUCCAGUUUGAAAUCUGGUGCAGGUACUAUUAUCCUAAUGUGAGAGACCAGAUGGUCGCCAAAGGAACCUUGCCAUUAUCGAGGAUCUGUGCCAUUGUAACCAUGCAGCACCGUGAGGAUGUGGGAAUACAGACCUUUAAUCUCCCUUUAACCCCCAGGCUUGAGAAUAGGAAUGAACUAAGGAACCAAUCAUCAGGUUUACUGGAUGUGGGCCUAAGGUACAGGUGUACUCCAAGGACAGCAGAGGGAGUUCUUGCAGCCCGAGCUGUCUGCAUCUCAGUCCAGAUUAUCAGAGCCUGUGGUUUGCAAGCAGCAGCCAAGGCUUUGGCUGAGCAGGAACCUGCUCUGCAGUUUAGUGCCACAGUCGGGGUCAAUGCCUUUGUUACCACUCAUCUGUCCUUCCUGCCCAAGGGAGAACAGCGCCAAACCCACCCUGUGGCCUGUUCCUUCUGCCCUGAGUUCUCCCAUCACAGUGAAUUCUCAUGUAACUUGGUAACUCAGCACUGCAGUGGAGAAGCCUGUUUCCUGGCAGAGUUGUUGGAGUUUGCAGAAGUUACUUUUGCUAUUUAUCAUGAAGAUACCAAGUCAGCCAGUGAUAUAACCAGUAUCCGCUCAUUCAAAGAUUAUCUGCUUGGAGUAGUAAAGAUUCCAACAAAAGAUCUGCUGAUCAAGAGAUCUGGGAUCACAGGAUGGUAUCCUAUCAUUUUACCAGAAGAGGGGGCCCUGCCUCACGGCUUGGAGCUCAUGCAGAAGAUUGUGGGUGGUCUGGAGCUUUCCAUUUCCUUCACCCAUCCUGGAGACAGAGAGCGGGUGUUGGAAGCUGCUGAGCUAUUGGGCUGGAGCUUUGAGAAUAAUCUGAAGGAUUUUGUCAAGAUGGAUGAAGAGGAGCCAGCCACUGUUACCAUCUCCACCCCGAGGCUUUGGCUGCCUAUCCAUUGCGUGCUGCUUGCUGGCCAGAAGCACAUUCAUAAGAAUACAUAUUGCUACCUCCGCUACAAGCUGUACGAUCAUGAAGGCUUUUGGACCCCUCUCAAGAAACCUAAGGAAUCUGCAAACAAAAAGCAGGUCAUGGUUACUUUCAAGGCAUCCAAAAGAUCAGAAGUCUCUAGGAGCCCAUCACUGCUUUGGUACUUCAGAGAGGAGAGGUUAGAGAUCCAAGUUUGGCGGGCUUAUGGCAAUGACAGUGUGGAGAGGCCCCAUCAGACAGACAGCUGGAUUGGCUCAGCCUAUGUGGACCUGGCCAGACUUGGGGAGAGGUCAGCAAGGACACUAACUGUCAGUGGUGUGUAUCCUCUAUUUGGACGAAAUGCUUCCAACCUCUCAGGAGCUGCCUUGAGAGUUCAUGUGGUUCUCUCCUCUCUUUCUUCACACCCUGGGCCCACUAAUGAGCUGGACUCCAUGGACUGCAGCAGCGCCAGUGAGUCUGAGCAGCUCCCCAGAGGAAAUGAUGAGCUCCAGCUCUCUCCACCACAUGACCACCAGAAGUCUCCGGCCUCCACCCAGGUCCCCUGCAGCAGCACCACAGCUGAAGUCUGCCUGGCCCAGGAGGACCCUACUGCACUAGAUGGAACUUUUGCAGUCAGUAUCCUGGUAGAAAGAGCAAUGCAUUUGAGCUUGAAAGGGAGCCCCUUGACACAGAGGAAAGUAUCAAUACCCAGUUGUUGUGUAUCCUUCACAACAGCUGAUGAGCCAUCUCCUAUCUACACCCCAGUGGUUGAAAACACAGAUUCCCCCAUCUGGAAUUUUCAACAGCAAUCAAGGCUGUCUAAAGAGCUUCUUUUGGAUCCACGACAAACUCUGGUCUUCAAAGUUUGGCAUAAAGGAGGUGAGGAGAGGGUGAUUGGCUUUGCCUCAGUGGACCUCUCCCCACUUCUCUCUGGCUUCCAGUUUGUCUGUGGCUGGUACAACAUCACAGACUUCAGUGGAGAGUGCCAAGGGCAGAUAAAAGUUGCCAUCUCCCCUUUGGAGAGUUUGAUGCACUUCAGAGAAGAAAGGCAAGCAAGACGUGGGAUGGAGACCUCAGGAUCACUGAUCCCAAUAUAUAGUACCUUUUCCUUCCCUGCCUCUGAUAUGUAUGGUGCAUUCCCUGGCUGCAUUGCAGGACAGACUCCAGAACAACUUGUUCACACCUCAUCAAAGGAGGUUGAUUUCUCCUCUCCUGGGAGAAGCAGUACCACAAGAAGCAAGGCAUCACGCCAUGAAGAGCAUGUGCAGAACAUCCGCCGAUUCCAUGAAUCCCUGCAGCAGGGAGAGGCAAUCUUGCCAAGUGAUGACAAACUGACCACAUCACCCUUUUCCUCCCAUACUUCCAUUCUGACUUCCCUCAGGAGGAAUCUGAGUGAGCUAGAUCAGAUCCAGCAGUACUUCAGCCAGAAGCUCACCAAGCCUUUACUUCCCCUCAGUCCUCAGACCCAUACUGCCAUCUCGCAGUGCCAAGAGAGUCAGGGGGACCAUCUUCGGCCAGGAGCCAGCAGCCUAGACCCCGAAAGCCAUUGCAUCCUGGAGAAAUCCAAUAACCUGGUGUUGCAAGUCAGCUCGUUAAUCACGGAUCUGCAGACUAUCACCCGGAACUCCCAAGGAUCUUUGCGUUCUCACCAAGCGAGGAGUAGAAGCAGAGAAGUCACCACCCUCCCAGAUGCUCAGGACAUAGCCACGCAAGAACGAAGCACAACUCCAGACCUGCCAUUGGCAAGAGCUCCAGAUGAGGGCAGAAACUCCCCACCUCCCUCUACUCUUGAAGAGACUUCAGGUGGAAGAGGAAUGCUUCACGAGGCCCUGGGGCACACGGUACCCACCACAAGAAUGCAGAGCAGUGAGGACACCAGGGCAGGCCUGGCCUACAGUGAUGAGGACUAUGAAGAAGACAUCAUUGAGCCCAGGGCCCUCAAUGAGGUCACCACCGUGACAGACAAAACUAGCCCUUGGUCCAGUUUCAUGUCAGAUGCAAGUGAGAUCAUCAGCCCUCAGCCUGAUGAGGGGCAGAGGGAAGGCCCCUCUUGUCCUUCAGAGCCUUUCCCCAGAGAGGAGCUCAAGGUCAGAAGUAGCUUUCUGUCCAGCCCGGAAAGGACUGUUAACCCCCACUUGCAUAGGCAGGGCUCUCCUAGCCAAAGUAUUGUUCCUUGUGAGGGCAUGGCCUGUAAGGCCAGGAUUGGAGAGCCUGCCUCAGCAGGCCCUCAGCUCAGCUCCCAUGUGACACUCUCAGGAGCCCAACAGAGCAAAACCUGUGUUGGGUGGCACUCACCAAAGGCAGGCCAGGACCAGGAGCCCAAGCCAGAGGCCCAGGCUGAGAAGGAAGUGGCCUCUGAUGAGCUAAGUGACUCUGCUGAUAGCUCUGAGAAGCUCCCUCUACACCCAGCCUCCCAGAGCAGAAGGGAAAACCAUAAGCAGCCACCCAUCAACUGCCCUGACAUCAGGCAGAAGCAGCAGACAUCUGGGUCAGAGGUGUCCACGAAGCAGAGCAUCCUUCUCCCAGAGCCCAUUGUGGUGCCCAACUUCUUUUUACCUCCCCAGCAGUUGGAGGCCUCCCUGCGGAUGCUCUCUCUCUCUACAGCUUUGCCACCACCAGCCACAGCAGAUCAGGGCAAGAGCGAGACCACCGGGGGAGCCCUGUCCCAAAGGCCUUGUCGUCCCAGACCUAACUCGCUGCCUCCCAGCCUGUCUGAGGAAGAAACUCGCAGGAUUGCACGAAUAUUUUCUUCCCGAUACUCCCAGAAAGACUAAUGCAGCCCAAGAUACUGAGGGAAGGACCACCCACCCACUCACCCUCAGCCUUGUCUGGCCUCCCUCAGGGCUGUGAAAGCCCUGAAACCACCACCAGCCUUGUCCCUGGACACCAGUCAGCCCAGACUAGAGGAGCGUCACAGACCAGCCCAGUGUCCACCUGCCAGGACUUCAGCUUCCUCCUCGGAUGCACUCCCUCCACAGAGCCCUGAAAAUGGGUGCUUCUCAUCACCCAGAGGUUGGCUGAUCGCAGCCCAUGGCAGCCAGCUUUGGAACUUCUAGCACAGACUGGAUUCUGGGGACACGGAGCCAAAGCAGACAGACCUGGCCCUGCCCUCGAAGAGCUCCCAGGCCCACGUGAGCUAAGCUGCCCUCCCUCUGGGUCUCUCCAGGGCCCACCGCCCCUUUGUUUGGGUUCCGACUAUUUACCCCUCCCCACCUCCCGGCUGCAAUUCACCCACCACCUCCAGACUGCCAUUUUCAGCUGGAGCCAAGAACCUACUUCCAGAACGCUCCCCACCUCAGCAGCCCUAGCAGCCCCUUCCCUUCACAGGACUAACCCAACUGCCUGUUCUGCUGACACUGGGGCAGGGACUGCUCCAAGGAGGACCUUUGCACUUGAGUGUCUGGACUUGUGACCAUGGCCAUGGCUCUGUGCCCAAGUCUAGCAGUGGCCUCUGCUCCCCUGCCCCACCCAGUCACCUCCCUUCCCUUCCCACCUCUCUUCUUCUCUCCUCCCCUGCCCCCUGCCCCUCCCUCCUCUCUACUCAGUCACCUGGAUCCCAGGUUCAGAUUCGCCCACCCCUUACCCUCCGUGUCUACCAAGGGGGCCUCAGCGGCUGCUGCGAGGAACCCUUCCCGCCCCACCCCUCACACCCUCCCCAGAGCCCUUUGGCCUCAGGCGUGUCCAUGCUGAAGCCCCCAAGUGUCAUAUCAUAGAGAACAGUGUCAUAUCAUGGAGAACAGAUGGGUCCAAAGUACAUUACAGUUUGCAGGCUGGAAGUCAGGCCCUGCCAAGUAUUGCGACCUGGGCGAGUCACUGUCCCUCCCUAAGACUCUGUUUUCCCCUCUGCAACCUAAACAUUAAAAUGCAUGGAUCCUCAGCCAUAGAAAGGAGUGAAGUGCUGACACAUGCUCCAACAUGGAUGAACUUGGAAAACACUGCUAAGUCAGAGGCCAGUCACAAAAGGUCACAUAUUGUGUGGUUCUAUUUAUACAAAAUGUUCAGAAUCAGCAAAUCUAUAGAGACAAAGUAGAUUAGUGAUUGCCUGGGGUUGUGGGGAGGGGAGAAAGGAAGUGACACUGUUGAUGUGUACGGGGAUAUUGGGGAGGGUAAUGAAAGUGUUCUAAAACUGAUGGUUGCAUAACUGUGAAUACGCUAAAAACCGUUGAAUCAUACCAGUUAUAUAGGUAAAUUGUAUGGUAUGGGAAUUAUAUCUCAAUAAAGCUAUUUAAAAAAAAAAAA